GUACAUUUCACUUUUCCUUAAGUAUAAUGACUGUUGUGAAGUACAGUAACUAUAACUUUGGUUGUAUGAGAAACUGCAUUGUUGUUGAUACACAUACUAAUUAAAAAACUAGUCCAUAUAUGUAACAGGCUUUUAUAAAAUAAUUUAUUUUCUAUAUAAAUGGUUGAAUGAAAAUUAGAUUCUCAGAGAGGAAGAGCAACCUAAUAUUUUCUUAGGUAGAAAGCCCAAUUGAUAAGGCAUCUUAAUAGCGAAGGAGGUAAAAGCAGACUCCUGACUGUCAAACUAGCACAUCAGUCUGUAUGUGCGCUAUAUGGUAUAAGACUGAUUUGGACAAAGGAACGUUAACAUUUUUUCUCUGUUAUUUAUUUAACAGGAGAAGAAUUUUCUGACACAUAUUGAUAGGUAAUACAACAGAACCCAACUCAAUGUAUUUUUUCCAGGUUCCACAUGAAGUCCUAUAUUUAUGAUGCUAAAGAAGUUCUGAUUAGCCCAGUUUUGCUCUUAGUAUGAAAUGCUGCAUUCAUCACUAAAUGACGAAGUUUCAUGUGAGCAAAAGGAAUGCCCUGGCUGAGAGAUGGAUUUUACAGAUGUAUCCACUAGAGUUGAUUAAAGAGUGAUUGACCUUGGCAUUGAUUCCAAUCCAGUGCAUUCAAUGUAAGGAGGUUUUCAAAGGAAAGUGCAUUGCUGCAUGCAGUUACAAGAACAGAAGUCUGACAAAUUCACAACUGUCUGAACAUCUGUACUAUGUAUGAGUAAAGAAUUUUAAUACGAUGUAUACAAGUUCCCCUACAAAUUAAUUUGUGUAAAUUUUAAAAAACUACAUAGUAAGAAAAUAAUUAUAUUAAAAUACAGAGUACUGAUUUUA